AGAGGAAAUAGAAGGAAAAUAAAUAGAAAAAACGAAAUGAGGCCAAACGUUAACGUGAAAUCCUGACGCUCGAUAGCAAAACACAUCUUGUUUAUUGUUUUUGAGAGUCGGACAACUUCUGUAGGCGCACAUGUCGGGAGACGGCCGUUAUUUAUGUACAAUUUAUGCAAUCGAGAUAUUUUUAAAAAACAACCUCAGGAAAUCGCUAGCUUCAAAGUUCGCUGGUAUGUAGAAAAAAGAUCCAUCUCUAUAAUAAAUACAUAAACAUAUGUGAGUGCGAGGAUUUUUAUGUAUGUAUAAUCGUUUGUAUGUAUGUAUGUACGUAUUAUUGUAUGUGUGUGUGUGUGUGGAUAUACAUGUGUAUAUAUUUAUAUACGUGUGUGCACUCGAGAGUUAGUAUGUAAGUGUAUGUGUGUAUGCGCGUGCAUGAAUAUACGUUUGGAUGCGCGUAUAUAUAUAUAUAUAUAUAUAUAUAUAUAUAUAUAUAUAUAUAUGUAUAUAUAUGAAAUUGUAUGCACGUUCAUACUCAUAUGCGUAUAUAUAUAUAUAUAUAUAUAUAUACAUAUAUAUAUGUAUGUGUAUGUAAUUGUAUGCGUAUGUAUGUACAUAUAUAUGUAUGUCUUUGUGUUUGCACGUAUAUAUAUAUGUGUGUGUGUGUUUACAUGCGUUUGUGCGCGCAGGAAAGCCUUCCCUUUUUUUCCCUGUCGAGGGCUUACAUGACCCUUUAUUCGACUAUUUUACUUAGUCAAUGCAUGGUGAUCGCCAUAAGUUUUAAGCUUAUAUAAAUAUACCAUUAUUAUUAUUUACACGAUUGUAAAUCACGGCGUCGUAAUAAAAAAAAACCAUAUGCACCGAAUGCAUAUAUAUAUAUAUAUAUAUAUAUAUAUAUAUAUAUAUAUAUAUAUAUAUGCGUGUGUUGUGUGUAUAUCUAUGUGCAAGUAUGUACAUGAGAGAGAGAGAGAGAGAGAGAAGGGGAGAGAGAUGAAGAGAUUUGUUGAGGUUCCAAGCUUUGCCUUGUUAACCAAUAUGUAGAAGCAUGUUUUUUCUUAGCUGAAAGUUGUUUAUGCAAUACAUUUUGUGUAUAAUUAUUUUUGCAGUUAUUGUUUUAUUGUAAUGUAAACACGUGAAAAGUUGAGUGUUUUUCCAGGUUUCUGAGCUGGUGCUUUUUUUUUGGUUUUUGUUUUUUUUUUUUUUUUUAUUUUCUUUGUACUUGUUUCACUCAUUGGACUGCGGCCUUUCUGGGGCACUGCCUUGAAGAGUUUUAGUCGAAGAGAUCGGUCCCAGUAUUUUUUUCUCUUUUAAGCCUGUUAUUUAUUCUAUCGGUUUCUUUUGCCGAACAGUUGACUUACAAGGACGUAAACAAACCAACGCUGCCAGACACACACACACACACACAAACACACACACACACACACACACACACACACACACACAUAUAUAUAUAUAUAUAUAUAUAUAUAUAUAGGCGCAGGAGUGGCCGUAUGGUAAGAAACCUGCUUCCCAAUCACAUGGUCCCGGGUUCAGUCCCACUGAGUGGCACCUUGGGCAAGUGUCUUCUACUAUAGCCUCGGGCUGACCAAAGCCUUGCGAGUGUAUUUGGCAGACGGAAACUGAAAGAAGCCCGUCGUAUAUAUAUAUAUAUAUAUAUAUAUAUAUAUAUAUAUAUAUACCCGUAAAUAUUAGAGAGCCAACUUUGAGUAUGUUAACUCUAUGUGCUAGAAAUAGACCCACCGGUAAAAGUCGCCGACGAUAAUUCCACAUAGAAAUAGCACCACAGUCAACGCUAUGAAAUUAAAUUACAACUAAAUAAUGGAUUAAUCCAUUAUUUAGUUUUUGUCUUUUUUUUUACUUUUUGGAAGGAAGGCAGUUUUGCAGGGCCUCCAAGACUGGUGGAAGGGAGAAAGAGGGGAAAGUAUUCUCAAACCAGAAAUCUGGCUCGAAUGCUUGCAACAGAGUAGACUCCGCUUAAGGCACCGAGAAUGCCAGCUGGAGGUAUUAAACUGGGCAACGGACCUAUAAGUCGUCUUUGCAGGUCAUGGCAGGAUUUGAACUCAGAAUGCAAUGAACCGGAACAAAUACUGCAAGGCAUUCGAUCUGAUGGAUUGAUACCUUUAUAUCGAUCUCCAAAGGGAUGAAAGGAAAGUAGCCUUCGGCGAAGUUUGAACACGGAGCUCAGAGAAUUGGAACAAAUUCCGCAAAACAUUCUGCCUGAGACUCUAACGACUCUGGUAGUUUGCCACCUUUGUUACAUUGACGGUGACAUUUCAUGGCAACUACAGGUUGAAAAGAUACCAGCCCAAUACAAAUGAAUUGGGCUGACACCUAUUGAAUGAUGGUAAGCUCGGAUAUUCCCUAAAUUCCCUAAACCAUUCAUGAUUUCUACAAUCUUGUGAGGGUAAACUUUCAGUACCAAAGAUAUCUUGAAGAUCGUUUCACUUUUUAAAAUUUUAUUUUCCAUUCUCCACACUCUUGUAAACUUACAAUUACUCCCAGCUGAACUAAAACUUCAGCAAACUUGGCGACUGAGACGGCUCUGUUAAGUGCCACUCUCGUGUCGGUAGAAAGAUUAAAUUUUCCUUCUAAUCUACAAUUGUUAGUUUCUUGAGGCAUUCUUUCAGCUCAUCUUGUACCCUUUCAGAUGACAGGCAGAGUUUCCCUGAAACUAGUAAAGUGUAACUCCACUUAUGUUGUUUGUGUAAUCUCAGUUGCAAUUUAGAACCUCAAAUACAAGUCUGUGAGACGUUGUACACUCAUACUUUCAGUUUGACCUGCUUUAGAACUUCUGUCUGUGCUACACACGGGAGUGUCAUUUGUGUGUAAGGUUGAGUGAUGGCUUAAAAGGAGAAUGAGCAGUUGUGUCAUAUGUAUGUAAAGUUACAACUGUCCCAGAUGAGACCACUGUCAUAACAAUCUGUUAAGGGAACGAAUUUUUUAUCAAGUACAGUUGAUGAGCAAAUACGCACUUGUUUCGCUCAAAGCAUCAAAGGAAACUUUUUCUACCAGGCCAGAUAAUAUUAGUCUUCCUGAGCCUGGCAUAAGCGUUAUCUAUCUGGAACUGAGAGUAAUUUAUUUUAGUGAAUGUACUGUUACAGUUUCUUUUUAAUGUCAUAGCUGGUUGCUUAAAGAAUCUCUUGACAGAGAACUGCAACUGCCGUUCGUACUGGAGCUGGUAGUCUUUACUGUUCGAGAUCCUUGCUAACAAUGGACUGUGCAGUAUUUUCAAUGACGAUCAACGCUUUGUGGUACAUGACAUAUGUAAACUCAAGAUAUUUGUUUUCCUCUUACUCUUUUACUCUUUUACUUGUUUCAGUCAUUUGACUGCGGCCAUGCUGGAGCACCGCCUUUAGUCGAGCAAAUCGACCCCGGGACUUAUUCCUUGUAAGCCCAGUACUUAUUCUAUCGGUCUCUUUUGCCGAGCCGCUAAGUGACGGGGACAUAAACACACCAGCUUCGGUUGUCAAGCAAUGCUAGGGGGACAAACACAGACACACAAUCAUACACACACACACACACACACACACACACAUACAUAUAUAUAUAUAUAUAUAUAUAUAUAUAUAUAUAUAUAUAUAUAUAUAUAUAUAUAUAUAUAUAUAUAUAUAUGCAUAUAUACGACGGGCUUCUUUCAGUUUCCGUCUACCAAAUCCAUUCACAAGGCUUUGGUCGGCCCGAGGCUAUAGUAGAAGACACUUGCCCAAGAUGCCACGCAGUGGGACUGAACCCGGAACCAUGUGGUUGGUGAGCAAGCUACUUACCACACAGCCACUCCUACGCCUAUGUUGCACUUAAUUUUGUCACGUCGUCCUGGCAACUACGCAAAAGUUAUUGAGGAGUGGAUGGUAAACAAUAAAGAAAAUAACAAAAAAACUCCUCAUCUCGUAUAGAAAACACGAGACUACAGUCUCUUCCACAGUAUUAUUCUAGCAACCUUCGCGGUAUGUUGCACAGACGUACCAAGCAAUUGUUUUGGGGUCCUGAGAAGAGGAUGAAUUAUAGUUACAGCACUGUACAGAGAGUUGAAUAGGUAAUUAAAAUACUUCACUUAACAAUCAUAUUUUCAGAAAGUCUGCAGGCGGUUUCAAAUAGCAAAGGAGGCAAUAAAUACAGUUUCUUGUUUGACAUUUAAAUUUGACUGUAUUUGUAUCAAAUAAUGUUUACUUAAUAUGUUUUACCAGUAUCUGAGUCAAUAAUAAUGCAUACAAAAUAUAGCGACAGUUUAUUUUGGAAGGCUUACAUCGCUAUUAAUAUUCCUAUUUUAAGAAAAAACGACGUCUUCAAAAAGUUAUGUAGUUUCAAAUACCUUUCAUCCGUUGUUUGCGUUUAAGAUUAUUUACGUAUUUUUUAAGGAUUACAUUCAGAUUUUAUACUUUAUGCCGAUAAAAGUAAAGUACCUGAGUGCAGAUAGUUAUAAAAUCUAAAAUAUAUCCAAAUUUUAUAUGAGCACAAACAUGUAUACAUGCACAUUAACUUACAUACAUAGUGACAUAUACUUAUAGUGACAUACAGAGUAAACAGUCGACGAUCUACUCUGGUGUCGUUUGUUCGUUCGAAGUCUUAACUCUCCAUAAAUUUUAUAUUUUGAAAAUUUCUGGAUGCUGCUGUCUUAUGAAGUUUUCCCGUCUUGUCGUUGAAAGCUCUAAACAAGUAUUAAUAAACAGUCGACAACUGAGGAGGAAUUAGACUUCCUUUGGUAUUUGGUCCCGUACUUAUCUCUGUUUGUUUACGUAUUUUUCCACUCGUUCGUGAUAUCCUGUAUUUAAUGUAUAUCUUUUCUUCUGUAUUUAUCUUGUACUUAUCUCUUGCGUGUUUACGUAAUCUCUCGCUGAUGAUGCCCUGUAAUUAAUGUGUAUUUUUUAUUAUUUAUAAUUGAACGCCACGCAGACUUUGUCAACAGUAAGUUUUUACACUGAAGAUUUAGGUAUGAGACGCGUGUCUGCCAAGUUUGUGCCGUAACUGCUUUCAGCUAUCAAAAAAACACUCGGAUUUCAGUUACACAAGAUCUCUUUGAUUGUGUUGAGAACGAUGGAAACAUUUUGAAAACUUUGAGUAAACCUCUGAGCAGAUAUCACCAAGCUUUUAGCAAAUUUUGAUGCAGAUUCUCUGCUCAGCUUUCUCUGCCAUGGUCAAUGUGACGAUCACACGCUACACACUUUUCUUCCAAGUACUGCUGUAAACAGCAGCAGUAAGCUAGAACGUUACAACUUGGUGCGCAUGCACAGUAGAGUUUAAGGUCAAUGUGCGAUGUGUGUGUAUAAGACAAGCUUCUUUCAGUUUUUGUCUAACAAAUCCACUCACAAGUCUUUGGCCAACACGAGGCUAUAGUAGAAAACACUUGUUCAAGGUGUCACGUAGUGUGACUGAACCCGGAACCAUGUGACUCUGAAGCAAACAUCUCACCACACAGCCACGCUUGCGCCUUUAAUAUGGAUGAUAGCUUUCAAAAAAAAAUUUGCUAACUGCCUUAGGUGCCUUCGUAGACGCGAACAGGCAUAAAUUCUAUGGCUUAAAAUAUUUUUUAAAUCACGGCUUCAGCUGGUUCAGCUCCUAUCAAGUGUUAACAAUACAAACAACUCCAGCUGCCGCAAAACCUAAGUAUGUUUACAUUCCGUUACGUCAAUCCAGCGGUUUCGAACCCGGAUCUUAUGUUCUAGUUUGUGUAUGUAUGUGUGUGAUGGUGGUUGUUAGAUGUGCACGCAUGUGUGUGCGUGUGCUUGGUUGUGUUGAUAUGUAUUAUCUUUGUGUUGAAGUGUCUAUGUGUGUGUAUGUAUGUAUGAAUGUGUGUAUUUGUAUAUGAGAUCCUGUGUAUAUGUGGGUGAAUAUGUGGGCUUAUGUAUUAGUAAACAUGCUUGUAUGUGUGUAUGUAACUCUUUAUGUAUGCGCAUGACUACGAUUCUAUGAGACUGCAUGUGUGCGUGUAUGUGUGCGUGUUUGAGUUUGUAUAUGUGCGCGUGUGCGAGCGUAUAACUAGUGCAUGUUGGUCAUAUGUGUAUAAGCGUGUCUGUGACUGUUUACGUAUACGUGAUCUGAUCAAUAAGUAUCCGGACUGUUGUAAUAGUAACGGAACUAAAGCACGCAGAGCAAAACCGCUUUGCAAAGAUUGACCUUAAACUCUACUGUGCAUGCGCACCAAGUUUUAACGUUCUAGCUUACUGCUGCUGUUUACAGCAGUGCUUGGAAGAAAAGUGUGUAGCGUGUGAUCGUCAUAUUGACCUUGACAGAGAAAGUUGAGCUGAGAAUCUGUAUCAAAAUUUUCUAAAAGCGAUAUCUGCUCAGAGAUCUACUCAAAGUUUUCAAAAUGUUUUCAUCGUUCUCAACAUAUUCAAAGAGAUCUUGUGUAACCGAGUGUCUUUUUGAUAGCUGAAAGCAGUUUUGACACAAACUUGGCAGACACGCGUCUCAUACCCAAAUCUUCAGUGACAAUGGACUGAACUGAACCGGAUGGUAAUUCUACGAUUUCUCUUCACAGCUACACGCACAUCUGCGAUGUAUUUUUCCAGUUCUGCUGGCUGUGUGUCUGCCAGAACAUUCGUCAAUAUCGACAUUUUUUCGGCCAUCUUGGAAACAUCUGAACCACUCGUGCACGUGUGAGCGGCUCAUACACCCCUCUCCAUACACUUUCUGUAACUUUGCGUAGGCCUCUGGGCAUGUAUUGCCAUGACAACUUACUGUCACGGUCAAUGCGACGAUCACACACUACACACCUUCCUUCCAAGUACUGCUGUAAACAGCUAAAGUGAACUAGAACGUUAAAACUUAAUGCGCGUGCACAGCAGAGUUCAAGGUCAAUCUUUGCCAAGCGGCUUUAUUCUGCGUACAUUGGCUUCGUUACUAUUGCAACAGUCCGGGUACUUAUUGAUCAUACCUCGUAUUGUUUGUGUAAUCGUGUACGAACGAAGCAGGAACUUGAUUUUACCAUUCUGUUCCUUCCAGAAUAUCAUAUAAUAAAACAGUAGCAAUAAAUUACUUCUACUUAGUUUAAAACUUAUUGUCCGAAUAUUACUAACAAGUAAAGUUAUGUCCAACAGAUCGGUUGAUCUGGUUACCAAUCGAAUCCAUCCCGAUGAUCACUCCAUCACUCUCCUUUGGUCUACAAGUGCAGAUAGUUUUCCUUUGGCGGCUGUAGCAAGAGAUUGCAGGGUGGCUGGACGCAGGCACUUUCCUCUUCACCAGGUCCUCGUCAACUUUGAAUUUCACUGGAAUAGGAGGUUAUAGCGAAGGAGGGGGUGCUACCCCCAGAAAGUGCCCUGAAAAUGAGUGAUAGUGAUGUAUAUGGUCCGAGUGACUGAACCUUUUAUCAGCAUCUCAGAGAAGGCUUUUGCGCUAGUAUUCAGAGAAAUUCUGACUGUCGGUUUCGUCGACUGGCCAUAGGAGGUUGCCCUCUUAUUGGGACGCUUCAGUCUAUUACACUUAUAUACUUUGGUUUUCGCAUGUAAUUGUUUUGUUAAUAAUCAACCCUAUAUAAACCACUACAAUUUCUGUAAUUUGUUCAUAUAAUGUCCCCGCUUCCACCACAAUUGCGGCAAAUAAAAAGUCAUGGCCAUUACCAGCAGCACUAGCAUAAUGGUAUUGGCGGCGAGCUGGCAGAAACGUUAGCACGCCGGGCGAAAUACUUAUCGGUAUUUCAUCUGCCGCUACGUUCUGAGUUCAAAUUCCGCCGAGGUCGACUUUGCCUUUCAUCCUUUCGAGGUCGAUAAGAUAAGCACCAGUUACACACUGGGGUCGAUGUAAUCGACUUUAUCCGUUUGUCUGUCCUUGUUUGUCCUCUCUGUGUUUAGCCCCUUGUGGGUAGUAAAGAAAUAGGUAUUGCAUGCUAUUUUAGUUAUCCGAAUGUUGUUAGAGGUUUGUAAAAACUGUCCUCAAAUCUCAAGAACCUUUCUUAAUAUCCUUGCUGAAAUUUGUCUUCUCUCUCUCUCUCUCUCUCUCUCUCUCUCUCUCUCUCUCUCUCUCUUCUUUCUCUCUCUCUCUCUCUCUCUCUCUCUCUCUCUCUCUCUCUCUCUUUUCACUUAAUUAAUUAAGUGAAAUGUUUUGUAAAUAUUUUCAUAGUCUUUGAAUAGGUAAAUAUUUUCAUAGUUUUCAGACAAUCUGUCUGUCUCUCUAUUCCUUUGUGAAUACCUGGACUCAGGCCACAAAGGAAUAGACAGACAGACUAUCUGAAAACUAUGGAAAUAUUUACCUAUUCAAAGACUAUGAAAAUAUUUACAAAACAUUUCACUUAAUUUUUUUCUCCAUUUUAAUUGUAUUUUUCUUAUUUUACUCUUAGUUGAAAAAAAAAGACGGAAACCAGUACUAAAAUGUACUUCACGCUAAAAUUAUUUUAGCAUUUUCUACCUUGUCUUAUUUUCAUUAUACAUAUCAACUCGCGUGUUACUUUUCUACCAUAUAUAUAUAUAUAUAUAUAUAUAUAUAUAUAUAUAUAUAUAUAUCAAGUUAGAGGAGUUUAAUACCUCUAAGGGAUAAUUAAAUUCAGAGUUGCUCCUGGCUAUUACCUGGGUAGGCGCAGUCUUUUGUAAGAUUGUACGGUAGCAAGCGUUUCGGUUAGUAAACCAGAGUUUAGGUUAUAUAAGAGAAGAAAAUGGAUAUAAUGACAAUAGGAAACUCAUGGUUUACGGUGGCAUGCCUUUAAUUAAAUAGGUAACAAAGAAGUAAGAAGCAACUGCUUCUUACGUUUUUUAUUACCUAUUUAAUUAAAGACAUGCCAGCGUAAACCACGAGUUUCUCAUUGUUAUUAUAUCCAUUUUCUUCCCAUAUAUAUAUAUAUAUAUAUGUAUGUAUGUAUGUAUGUAUGUAUGUAUGUAUGUAUGUAUGUAUGUAUGUAUGUAUGUAUGUAUGUAUGUAUUAGAGUGCCCAGAGAAACAAAUUUGAGAAAUGUUGAACUCUCAUCCCAUCAAUUUGUGACGCUUGACAUAUAAACACUUUACUUGAAAUUUGAAGAAAGUUUCAUAGUAUUUAGAGUUGCCACUUAGCGAUUCAAUAUUUUGCUUCAGUAUGAAGUAAAGCUUAAUCUAAUAAAUAGCUUGUAAUGGAGCUGUAGUAAAAGUAUUCCAUUUAUCAAUAAAUGAAAUAGUGCAGAGACCAAAUCAUCUGAAAAAUUCGACAGAUAUACUCACGUACAUACAUAUUCCAUAUGUCGGCUUGUGUGAGGCUAUGCUUUACUCCGCGCCGUAAGCCGUAUUUCCUAAUCAGUAUUGUUAUAGCUUUCGUCGUGUGUAGAUGUGUCAUCGCUGCACUGCCGUAGUGUUUUAAUUAAACAUGUCUAUUUUGAUGAAAAGAAGUGAAAAACGGAUUUGAUUUAUUGGAUAUAUGAUUGAAAAAAUUCGUAUUAUAAAAAUUCCCAUCAAUUGGAGAUGUAUUAAGACUCCUUUUUUAUCAUAAGAAAACAGUGAAAGGAGCAUCAGAUAUUGUGUAUUCAGAAAUAAAUGAAAACUGGGACAACGCUAAGAUACCAAUGAAAGACAAGCAACAAUAUAGAUCACUUCAAAAAGCAAAGUGAAGGAGAAAUCAGAAUCAAAUUGCAAAUGAAAGCAAAUUUAAGGAUUGCUUGGAUGACUUAUUUGGCAUUGCUCAUGCUGAUGUAGUGAAAAUGGUGUCAAACGAAGAAGCUGCUCGGAGAGAAAAAGGAAGGAAGGUUAUAUGAGUGUUAUUGACAGGAAUUAUGUUGCAGAGCAACAAAGGAAACGCAAACGGAUAGAAGAAGAGAAGGGAAACGAAGCAGAGAUUCUUUGCAAGAAAAAGCAGUCAGUUGUUACUUUGGAGAGUAGCUGUGAUAACAGCAGUGGUGAGUCAAAUGACGAGCCACAAACCUGGAUCAUCCAAAAUUCCUCUCAGUAAAAAAUCAAAAACUCAUGAACAAAUAGUACCAGCUGAUUUGGCAGUGGGUUUGGAUAGAGCUAAAAUAAGCGAUCGCAGUGCAAUGUUACUAGCAUCUGCUACUGUUUCAGCCUGUGGAAAAGGAUUUCCAAAUGCAUGCGUACAUAACAAGUAAUCUCUACAGAUAUAUAUAUAUAUAUAUAUAUAUAUAUAUAUAUAUAUAUAUAUAUAUAUAUAUAUAUAUAUAUAUAUAUAUAUAUAUAUAUAUAUAUAUAUAUAUAUAUAUAUAUAUAUAUAUAUAUAUAUAUAUAUACAUACAUACAUACAUACAUACAUACAUACAUACAUAUGUAUGUAUAUGUAUGGGUAUAUAGGUGUAUAUAUAUUACCAUAAUAUAUCGGUCUUGUGACACUACCAAAAUAUUGUUCAAUCAUAUUAAAAAUUCACUAAGAACGUUUUUAUACCUAACCUCAUAAUCUGCAGUGGUGAAAUCUAAAACAUAAAGAAAUGCAAAAAUCACCCUUAUAAAAUGGGCUACCCUAAUAUAUACAUAUAUAUAUAUAUAUAUAUAUAUAUAUAUAUAUAUAUAUAUACGUAUACAUAUAUGCACACACAUAUGCACAUAUACACAUAUAUGUAUACAUACAUAUAUAGAUAGAUAUAUAUACACACGUAUAUACACACACAUUAUAUAUAGAUAGAUACAUACAUAUAAGAGGGAUAAUAAUUUUUCUGAAUCUUCAGAUUUUUUCAAUAUGCUAGGCCACUGGUUUAAUUGAUAUUAAUCAAAUUAAUAUUCAAUUUUUCACCCAUAUUAUUUAAAUUUAGAUAGACAGACAGACAGACAGACAGACAGACAGACAGACAGAUAGAUAGAUAGAUAGAUAGAUAGAUAGAUAGAUAGAUAGAUAGAUAGAUAGAUAGAUAUCGAUUUCUCACUUAGAUAUCGAUUUCUCCCUAAGGAUUUUUGAAGUAACACUUGAUAGUGGAUCUGGGAUUCAACUGCAUCACAUCAGUGUUUAAAUGCAGAAUUUUCUCAUACGAUUUAUUUCCUGACGGCGACAACCGAGAACCUUUUAUUCUACCCGCGAGGUUGAUUCGGAGGAGGAGGAGGAGGAUGUUGUUUUUGUUGUUUCCUUUAUUCCUUUUCAGUAAAUACACACAAAAGACUACCCACUUCUCAGCUGCAUCAGAAGAUAAAGUCAAGUGCAGUUGUAAUUAUUGUCGUUGUUUUUGUUGUUAUUGUUUAACCUGAUGCCCUGCACUAAUUGGGAAGACCUAUAACGAAAAUGCUUCCCGCUGUGACGUUCCAGUUUUUUAUUCAGACAAGGAUGCAGGAAGGACAUAAAAAUAUGGACGAGUAUGAGAACCAAGGAGGUAUGUGAACGUUGAAGUUACUUAAGAAGAUGACUUCGGAGAGAAGUAAGAUGUGAUGGAUAUUUUUGAAGCAGGAGAAAGAUAUUUUCAAAGCAGAAGGAGAUAUAACCAAAGACUUAUUGGUGGUCGAAGAAAUUCGGAGAGCGGUAGAAGACGCAGAUGUAAAUGAAAGUGUGGGUGAAAGAGGCUUUGAGCCAGAGUAACUAGCAGCCUUUGUUGUUGAUGUCCAAACGAGAAAGGCGAGUGACCAGGAAUCUACGUAUGCACAGACAAAACAUUAGAGUGUGGAGGCUGAGGAAACAGGCGGCGAGCUGACAGAAACGUUAGCGCGCCGGGCGAAAUGCCUAGCGGUAUUUCGUCUGCCGCUACGUUCUGAGUUCAAAUUCCGCCGGGGUCGACUUUGCUUUUCAUCCAUUCGGGGUCGAUAAAUUAAGUACCAGUUACGCACUGGGGUCGAUAUAAUUGAUUUAAUCCGUUUGUCUGUCCUCGUUUGUCCUCUCUGUGUUUAGCCCCUUGUGGGUAGUAAAGAAAUAGGUAUUUCGUCUGCCGCUACGUUCUGAGUUCAAAUUCCGCCGAGGUCGACUUUGCCUUUCAUUCUUUCGGGGUCGAUAAAUUAAGUACCAGCUGCGUACUGGGGUCGAUAUAAUUGAUUUAAUCCAUUUGUUUGUCCUUGUUUGUCCUCUCUGCGUAGCCCCUUGUGGGCAGUAAAGAAAUAAGAAUCGUUAGCACGCUGGACAAAAUGCUUAACGGUAUUUUAUCCGUUGCUAAGUUCUGAGUUCAAAGUCCGCCAAUAAAUUAAGUACCAGCGAAUCACGGGGUUCGAUGUAAUCGAUUAGUCCCCUCUUCUCAAAUUUCUGGCCUUGUGCCUAUAGUAGAAAGGAUUAUUAUGUCCUUGAUAAAUGAUAGACACCACAUAGUCUGAUGUAACUCCGCUACGCGACCCAUAUAUGCCCUUAGCAGAGUUCGCUCUGCUGUAAGCAUUCGGACUAAUUCCCUGGUCGUAGAGUUUCCAUACUGUCUCAACUCACUUUCGCCCACCGCUCUUCACCAAGGGUUAGAGCUAAGCCCACUGGCCAAAUACUUUCUUUUCUCUAACAUCAGUAAAUUCCUACCCGAUCUAAACCAACUACAUCACGCAUUACAAACAUACAAACUACACACCCUAGUCUUCUCUGAGAAGCAAAUCACUCAAACCCCAAAGCCUCUUUCACUCACUCCAUUUACAGCUGCUUCUUCUACCGCUCUCCGAAUUUCUUCGACCACCAACAAGUCUUCGGUUAUAUCUUCUCCUGCUUCGAAAAUAUCCAUCUCAUCUUACUUCUCUCCGAAGUCUCUUCUUAAGCAAUUUCAACGUUAACAAACCUCCUUGGUUCUCAUACUCAUCCAUAUUGGUAUUGUCGGUGCAGCAACCGAAAAAUUUGCAAUCCUCAACAUAUUUCAUCCCUAACACGCUCAUCUGACCAACACACAGACCUCGCUCUAAUCUUGAAACCCAACUUCUACCACACCCUACAGUAUACGUAUCUACGUUUACGGGUGGGGUUGUCCAAACACUACCUUAGUGUUACUACUUUGCACACAUACACAUAUUACACAACCUUCUCGCUGUCGGAGACAUAACAAGUCAAUAGCAUUAGAAGUCAAUUGAUUUGUCAAAGCUCUGUCAGUUUUAUACUGAAUAUCCAUGAUACUCCUGACUGAUCAGUAACAGUUACGGGUGAUGUGACAAUGUCGGACUUCUGAAAUUUUCACCCUGAACAUGUCUUUUCUGCAUGUAUCAAUUUACAAAAGUUUAAGCGGGUUCCUAAAUUACAUUACACUUGAAUGAUCUGCAAAAUAUAUAGGUACCGCUGCUUCAUUAGAUGUAAGAAAUAAAAAAAAAUCAUGACAGGUUGCGAUCUGUGAUAAGUUUGGCUGCUAUUUCUGGCAGAGAUAGUGACUAAUUGAGGCUCACACAUUGAAUCAAUAUACCACCAGUCAGUUAAUUGAGUUCCAUUAAGGCGUAUGCAUUUGUGUUAUAAAUAAGAGAAAUUAUUAAUAUAUAAUAUAAAUAACUGGUGUUUAAUUGACAAUUUUUAUUCUAUGUUGCAGGUUGCUACUCGAGUAGCGAAUGUAUACAUUGUAACUGUUUGCUUUGAGGAUAUUUGAAAACGGAGCAUUUUCCACUCUUUAUAGGAGUAAUACAUAAUUAAGAAAGAAAACAGAGUCAGGCAUACAACAUACAACGUUGGGAUUUAUUUACAAGGAAGACAGAAUAAAAACUAACAAAAGGAUUAAUGUCAGAAAUCAAGUGAGUCCUUUUAAUUUAUACACACCCAUAAAAUAUAACUGAAACGUAGUACAGUCGUGUACAUUUGUGCGUGUGCACUGUGUGUGUGUGUGUGUGUGUGUGUGUGUGUGUGUGUGUGUGCGUGCGUGUGUGUGUGUGCGCGUGCGUGUGUGUGUGUGUUUGUAUUUGUGUAGUUCUCAUAAUAUCCAAUACUCCGAGUUUCAUGUUUCCGUUCUUUAAGCUACUAAUCCAAACCUAUUUUCUCUGGAAUUAUUUGUUGUUUCAAUGUAUUUGAAAAUACUAUACAAAACUGAUAAAUGUUGCUAGUAGUGUAUCUUACUUUUCAGUAAAUAUAUAUGCGUAUAUAUAUACAAAUAUGUAUGUAUAUAGAUACGUGUGAAUGUGUGUGCGUGCGUGUGUGUUUGUGUGUGUGUACGUGUGUGUGUGUACGUGUGUGUGCGUGUAGACAUGUAUAUGUAGGACAGUUUUUUCUAUUAGACACUCUAUAUUAAAAGUACAACUUUCUUAUUCCAUAUUAACCAAGAAUUCUUUUUCAUUUCUUCCGAUGAGUUCCUUGUUUAAAACAAUAAACUUCCUAAAUCAGUCAUCAAGUAGAUGAUUAUGCCAUCAUAAGUUCUACACUUGCGUAAUCUUACCUUCAGUACGAAAUGAUGUUGGAAGGUUAUGCUGCUUCUGUUGUAAGUAGAGCCAAUGACACAGAUACGAAAAUCACCACCGAAUUUUGCAAUUCUACCUUAAAUUGUGUUUUUACUUGCGACUUGUGUAUGUUGCGUGUUUGCUUAUUCAAGUAUUUUGCUGCAUUGUAUUGCUGCUAUCGUUAAUCGGUUAUUUGGAUCUUUUCAGUUUGAACGGCAGUUUUUUCUAGCGGUGUCAUAUGAAAUUGUCACCCAUAAUUAUGACCCUAGAAUCGAUCUAUUGCAUUUCAAUCCCUUUUAGGGUUAGGAUUAGUUAGGGUUAGUUAGGGUUAGGGUUAGGAUUAGGGGUGGGGAAAAGGUAUCUUUUUUUCUUCACAAAUGUAAAUAAACCCAAUCUGUUUCUUAAACGAGGGACAUAUUCAUACGGCAUAGAAUGCUUUUUAACUCAAUAGACGUCACUGAUUGGUUGAAAUAGCAGAAAUUGAAGGAAAAAAAAUAACAAAUAUCUUACAAAAUAUAGAAUUUUCUCAAUAAAGCCAAGAGAAAAAAAAAGAUUUUUUUUUAAACACAUUCUACCAGUAUACGAAGUUUAAAAUUUUUUAGUUACCUAGAAAUUAUGUUAAAAACUGCCGUUCAAACCGAAAAUAUCCGGUUAUUUUUCUAGGGAACUCUCUCCAGAUACGUUGUCCACUAAUGUUUUCCUGCAUAGUUUUGUUUUUAUUGUGUGGUACAAUGUAUAGUAAUUGUUUUGUGCUGUAAGUAUAUGGUGUACCGGAAAAUGAUUGACUUAUUUGUAUAACAGAUGGUGUCGUAAAGUUUAUGACUUUCACGUUUGUGAUCGAAUUUAUAAAACACAUUGUCAAUAGGUUCAAAUACCUGUGGUUUGUUAU
rnacentral:lncRNA from 1 species